GAUGAACGCUGGCGGCGUGCCUAAUACAUGCAAGUCGAGCGAAUGGAUUAAGAGCUUGCUCUUAAGAAGUUAGCGGCGGACGGGUGAGUAACACGUGGGUAACCUGCCCAUAAGACUGGGAUAACUCCGGGAAACCGGGGCUAAUACCGGAUAACAUUUUGAGCCGCAUGGUUCGAAAUUGAAAGGCGGCUUCGGCUGUCACUUAUGGAUGGACCCGCGUCGCAUUAGCUAGUUGGUGAGGUAACGGCUCACCAAGGCAACGAUGCGUAGCCGACCUGAGGGGGUGAGGGGCCACACUGGGACUGAGACACGGCCCAGACCCCUACGGGAGGCAGCAGUAGGGAAUCUUCCGCAAUGGACGAAAGUCUGACGGAGCAACGCCGCGUGAGUGAUGAAGGCUUUCGGGUCGUAAAACUCUGUUGUUAGGGAAGAACAAGUGCUAGUUGAAUAAGCUGGCACCUUGACGGUACCUAACCAGAAAGCCACGGCUAACUACGUGCCAGCCGCCGCGGUAA
rnacentral:rRNA from 1 species